GCUCACAGCAGUAAAACCCUAACCAAGACACCCACCUAGACUCCUUACUUUUUCCAACAAGGAAAAUGGAGCUAAAGAGAUUUAAGUUACCUGCCAGGUGCCACACAGAACUAAAGUGUGGACUCAGAGUGUGUGGUGACUUUCUUAGGACCUGCUCUGCCAAACAAAACACCUGGGCCUGAGUAGUUGUAUAAAGAUCAGAAAUUUAUUUUCUCAUAGCCCUGACUGUGAAACUUAGGGUAAGGUGUCAGGAGAAUCACUGUCCAAUGAGGGCUGUUCAUUGCCUGCAAGAUGGGUGGUGGUGGGCUUGUUGCUGUAUCCUAUGCAGGAAGGACUGAUACAGGCCUUGUUAUUUACCCAGCUCGUUCAUAAGGAACUAAUCCACACAUGAAGACAGAGUUCCCAUGACCCAAGGGCCCCCAUUCCUUGAUGUUACUGUACUGGGGAUUAGAGUCAACAUAUUUUGGAGUUUCACAAGAACUUGAGCUGUGUGUGUGUGUGUGUGUGUGUGUGUGUGUGUGUGUGUGUGUGUGUAAAAGUAUGUAAAAUUAUAGUUCUGUGGAUGGAAGCCAUGGCCUCAAUCACUAAGCUGUAACCAUAGUCUUUCUAAACAGGUUAGAGAAUUAAGCAUUAAGGGUUAGGUUAUGAAAAGUUUUCAGACCAUAUUAUUUCUUUUUCAAAAAGCAUUUUUUUUUGUUUUUAAUUAUGUGUACAUGCAUGGGUCCAUGUAGGGCUUGUGCAUGUGUGAAUUACUUGCUGUCAGAUCUCCCCGAUGCUGGCAUUGCAGGCAGUUAUGGGCUGCUGGAUGUGGUUGCUAGGAAUCAGACUCGGGUCCUCUGUAAGAGCAGCAUAAGCUCUAAGUGCGGUGCUGUCCCUCCAGCCCCUGUAGUAUUUCUUAGAUACGAUCUCUCUCUGGGGAGGAGGCCUAUAUAAAGAAAGGAUUUGGUGUUUCAGUUCAGAUGCAGCAACCUGUGCUCUGAGCUUUCUGUGUUUUGAUGAAUUGCUUAACUAGACUAACUUCCUGUCCCCUGCUCUUUGCCAAGAAUAUCCUAGCUAGAGAUGAACAUUAGAGCCAACCUGUGCGAAGGCUGGUGUAAGAAGCCUGACUGGAUGGCAGAAAGAUUUUACCCGUUGCUACAAGUCCUCAUUCACUGCACAUGGAAUGCUGUCGAGCUGUCCCUACAGGCAAUCCCUACAGACAGAGAGUUACAGCUACAAACGUAAGCAGCAAAAAUGACUUAGAGCAGAUGUGGCCAGAGGGAAGCCCCCAGUGUUGGGUGCCAUCAUUGUCUAUUGUGAGGAGAGUCAGGUGACAUGUUCUCCGCCAUAGAUGCAUCCUCGCCUGCCGAGCUGAUUGACACACUGCCAGGUUUCCGUUUACCUUUUAAAAUAUUGACAUUUGUGAGCCGAGGGGAAGAGUCUUCUCUUUGUCUGUCCAGUUCCAUAGGUCUUGUGCAUGGGGAGCAUGUGCCCUCAUUUGCGUUCUCACUUCCUUGGGCAAUGGCACUCAAGGGUGAGCUCAGUCAUCUGCAGACAUUGCAUUGGGGCAGACUCUGUGCUGUCCCCACUGAUUCUGCCAGACCAAAGAUGAAUCUGUAGUUUGGCAGAUGAUACUCCAUCUUUAUGAUUGCCCUCAUAUAAUCUAGUCUGCUUCAGUGUUUACCGUGUGUCGGAUGCUGUCUCUAGAUCCCUUGCUUUUCAUCCCAUCUGACUGACCGUCAGCUCUGUGAGGUGGGUGCUGCUAUUGUACAUAUCUCAUAGAUGGCCGUGUGAUGUCUGCCAAUGAUUCAUUUGUGGAUAGAAGAGGAGAUGGUUUCCACUGAAGUCCUCACAUGAUUCUUUAUUUAACCCCUGUUGCAUAGUUAGGUUCUGUUCUGAGACAGGGUCUCGCUAUGUUGCUCAGGCUGGUCUUGAACUCAUAAUCCUUUUGCUGCAGCCUCCAGAGUCUGAGCACUACCAUGCUGAGCUAUAGGCAUGUACUGCCAUGCUCAGCUAUUUAACUAGUUUUAGUGGAGCCUUCAGUGUUUAGCAUGGGGUUCAAUAUGAGUAUGAGGCAUGGUACCUGUCUACACAGCAUCUACAGACUAAUAGGCAGAUGGAAAUAGAACCUGCAUAUACUGUCUUGUGGAGUAAACUUAGAUUUGGCUUGUCUAUCAUUAGUCUUUAUGGGUCUAAGAUUCUUUCUCAAAACUAGGAUUAGACUAGAUUGUAGGUUACUAACUUUCUCCUGUAGAAGGCCAUAUAAUACAUAUUCUAGUCUUUGUAAUGAAUAUAAUCUUUGUUAUAACUAUUCAAUUUUGCUGCUGUGUGUAAUCAGAAAAAUAACAGAAAGGCACAGCUGCAUUCAAAUAAAGCUUUAUUGACAAAGACUUUUGUAAUAAAACUUGAAUAGGUAGGGUGUGACCCAUUAUCAGCCCUUGGGACAGAUGAUUUGGGUAGAUACCUCUGUUCAGAAAAUGCUCUAAUUUCUCCGCGUGCCAUAUGGAUCAUAGUGUGGGAGUAAGAAGCCAUUUAUCUGGCUUAUCUCAGGAUGAGUUCUGUUUGGAAACCAACCACUUGGCUAUGGGUGUGCUCCUGGAGAGGCAGUUAAAAGGACUUCAUCACUAUUCUGAUUGAGAUUGCAAUGGGAGCCACGAAAGAGGGUGGGGGAUGGGAUGGUCUCAUUAAUUAGCGGUGGGCAUCACUGUUGCAGUUAGAAAUCUGGCCAUUAGCUCAGCAGGACAAGGAAGCUACCAUGGGGUAGGCCGGAGAUGUGAAUUUCCCAGGAGCCAAAUGCAAAAAUAAAUAAUUCUUUUUAGAAAGAAGUGUUUAUAUAACUCCUUAUGUAAGCCUUAGAAUCCAAGAUAAUAAAACAUAAUCCUAAUGUUCAUAACAAACCUAAUACAGCUAUGAUAAUUCCACCUAACAUAAUUCUGAUAAUACAACACAAGUCUAACAUAACAGGCUGCGGUGGGACAUUUCGUCUGUGGGUGACCUGUACCUUGAUGGUGUUUCUGCCCUCCAUUACUUUCAAUGUUGCUGUCUCUCCAACAGCAGCCUGGUGGUCCUGUUCUCUACCCCCCAAAUUUCCCCCUCUACUUUCAUGCCUAUUUUAUAGAUUUGAUUUUAAUCUCUUUUCAUCUAAAAUGUACCUACCCAAUCUCCAUUUGAAUACACUCAUUUAUUAUUUCCAUAUAUUUGAAUAACUCUCCUAUGACUUUGAAUGAAUGCACAAUUUUAGGUCUGUUUCUGCUGAAAGGGACACAGAAAACUUAUUCAGCUGACUUGAGGGUCAGUUGAAGGCCUUGGAGUCUAGACGAUCCAAGCAGAGAGUGGACAUUAGGUGAGCAGGUCUGAGCAGGUCUAUCAAAUAAGGGGCUCAUGGGGUAGAGUUUCUGUCUUUCUUUCAUUUCCACUUCUGUUUGUGUUGCUUCACUGACAAGUUUUUGUUUGUUUUUGAGAUAAAGUCUCCUUAGCCCAAAUUCAAACUCACAUGUGGCUGAGGACCAUGUUGAACUCCUGACCCUCUGGUCUCCAUCUUCCAUGUGCUGGGAUUACAUGGUGGCAUGAGCCACCAAGCCCAGCACAGUUCAGCUUCAUCUUUAAGCUGACAUUUCCCUGGUAGUCAGAUGGUACUGCAAGAUUCAACUUCUUGUUUGACUAAAAUGCAGCUAGGAAAAGCCAACAUCUUCCUCCAGAAGCCCUGGUGUGGUGUCUUUGGGUAUCACUGGCAAUGCCUGGGUUGUCAUGGCAGCUUGAACACUGAUGUGGGGCUGUUGGGUGGGGCUGAGAUUCUGCCGGUGGCGGUAAGUUGUAGAACCCAGGCUACCCAGGGAACGCUGGGCUGUGUUCGCCAGCAAGAGGCGGAUGGCUGUGGGUUAACAAACAACAGAUGUCCAGCACAAUGGCACUUUGUGAUGUUCAAAAAUGCUUUUAUGGAAGUGACUCAUUUGAUUUUAUAAUUUUAUGGGAUAUGUUCGUCAGCUGUUGUUAUUUCCAUUUUCAGAUGAGGACGCAAAGCAUGAAUCACCCGACUCAUUCAAAUGCACGCAUUGACAGCAGAGAUUGUAUUAACGCUUUUCUCUGAAUGGUGUUGACAUCUGACCACAACGCAGGAAAAUAUUAGUUCUGCCCCGGACUAGAUCUCUAUCAAUGCCACUUAAAACUGAAUUGAUAGGUUGAUUAGUCACAGCACACUGGCUUGUACUGAAUUCACAACUAAUUAAGACCCUUCUGAUCUUUCAUGACUUCUUCUUCUUCUUUUUUUUUUUUUUUGGUUCUUUUUUUCGGAGCUGCUUUCAUGACUUCUAAUAAAACAUUAUACACCUAAUUUUUCCCACUUAAACCAAGAAGAUGCUUAUCUUUGUACUAUCUCAUAUUAAACUCCUCUUGUUGCCGUGAACAGGUAAGAAGACUUGAGUGGUAUGGAAUUCAGAGCAUGAAGUUGUCUUUUCCGGAUUUAUGCUCUCUCCAAGCUUAACAGCCAUGGCCUAUUUUGUCUUCUAAGUGAUGGCUAAGACGAUUGAGCAAUAAGGUGUAUGUAUGAAGUGCAGUCUGGAAUGAUGCCCCCAGAGCUAAAUCAGAGGACUCCGUCUCUGCUUACUCAACGGUUUGCCAGCUGUACGGACGGAGGCCAGACUGACCUACCCAUCGAGUCAUUUUACAGAUGGACCACCUCUCUUCCUUCAGCCUCUUUCCUUGUGUUCUAAUAUAGGCCACGUCUUUACUGAGAAUAUCACCUUUAGAAAUGACACCACCGGCCUGAAGUCAGAGGUAGCUGUGCCUCUGUGAAAUUCCCUCAUCAUUUGUUCUGGAUUCAGCGAGGAGAGUUGAGGCUACUGAGUUAGUGUUAGGUUCCUGUCAAGACACUAGGAAGACAGAACAGUGGGCAAGCCUGACAGUCCGCGAAAAUCUGCUAUUAAACAAAUUCUACAGCACGCAUCCCCUCAACAACAUGAGAGUCUUUUUUUAGAUUAGGAAAGUUAAAUUUUGUAACUCGGAUGUAAAUAAUAAAGGCAUCUGGGAACAAUCAAAAA
rnacentral:sRNA from 1 species